rnacentral:rRNA from 1 species
GUGUCAGCAGCCGCGGUAAUACGUAGGGGGCGAGCGUUGUCCGAAUUCACUGGGCGUAAAGCGCGCGUAGGCGGAUUUUUAAGUUGGGGGUGAAAUCCCGAGGCUCAACCUCGGAACUGCCUCCAAAACUGGAAGUCUUGAGGUAUGGAGAGGGAAGUGGAAUUCCAGGUGUAGCGGUGAAAUGCGUAGAUAUCUGGAGGAACACCCGUGGCGAAGGCGGCUUCCUGGCCAUAUCCUGACGCUGAGGUGCGAAAGCUAGGGGAGCGAACGGGAUUAGAUACCCCGGUAGUCCUAGCCGUAAACGAUGGAUACUAGGUGUAAGUGGUAUCGACCCCACUUGUGCCGAAGCUAACGCAUUAAGUAUCCCGCCUGGGGAGUACGACCGCAAGGUUGAA